UUGAUGCGUUUUCAGAGUGAAAAGCCGUUUUCAGAUUUCUCCGGCUUAGUGUGGACGCGGCCUUAUUUAUAUGAAGACUAUCCCUUGUGAUUAUUUUCUCUCACUUGUUGAGGCUAGGCGUCUUUUCUUGUGACACUGAAUGCUAAAUUGAAUCCAUCCUACAUCCACAGAUAAACUUAGUACCAAGAAAAAAAUGGACAGCAAAGCGAACUAUUCCUCUACAGAAUCGAGCGACGAAGAAAAAGACUGGGGACCUUGUGUACGCACUCGACGUCGGGGACGACGCCAUUUUCAUCUUACGUCAAAAUGUAUGAACUUCUCAGGGCCAGAAAAAAGUUGGACAGCAAACCAAAAUAUUCCUUCGAAGAUCGAAUCGAGCGACGAUGAAGGAGAAUUUUAAUUUGAAUAAUGAAUCAUCGAAAAAUGUUGCGUGGAAGCUCAAGCAAUGAAAUCACCGAUAAUAUGGCCUGGAGAAUGUUGGCUUUUAUGUUGCUUAAAAAAUUCACGUAUAGUUAGAAAACCAUCAUGUAAAAUGAAAAACAAAUAAACGAAAAAUAUGUGACGUGUUCCACUAAAAAAAAAAAAAAAUAGAUGACUAUUGUGCCCACUGUCUCAACGAUCAGCUGAGGUGGAUGAGCUGGAGGCUUUUUUCUUCACUCGAUUCCUCUGCUUUUUUGUCAAGCUCAAGGAAAUCCACACAAAGAUAACAUCUAUAUUUUAAGAGUAUUUUGAGCACCGGUUAGAUGAUUUCAAAAGGCAUAUAUAUGUACUGCUGCUCUUUGAAUAUUGCAGUUCUAUCUUGUUUGUCAUUAUGCACCGACCAAUGUAAAUCCGUUGGGGCAUGGCGGGAGUUGGGCCAAGGAAUGGGGAUUUGACGCUUUCCACAUGAAAUUAGGUCUGAGUAUUCUUAAGUCAUAUGCAAAAAUAAGAACAAAACUUUAAAUAGAAAAGAGAUUUCAUGCGUUAAAAGACAAGUCUUAUUCUGGGGCUAACCAACUUAUAGCUGGGGGCUAACCAGCUAGGGACUAAUCGACUUGGAGUCUAUAUGACUGACAAACAUCAAAUCGUUCAAAUAGACUUUCUCCCCUUCUGAUGGAAUCGAGUCGACAGUAUUGGACAACCCUCUAAACUGGCUAGUGUGGAACCUUGAUUCGCGUUCAUCAUUUAAAUAUCUCGGAAACAGUCAAACUUGUAAAUAUCCCAAAAAAAUAUCCAGAUAUUUGAGGAAAGGUCUAGUCAAAAUUACAUGUAUAGAAAAAUGACUACCUUUCAUACAUAAGAUAUCUGAAGAUUACUCGUAGCCCGUUCCUCAAACUCGUAAAAUUGCAAGGCUACAGAGGAAGGCUAGGU